rnacentral:rRNA from 1 species
CCUACGUGAGGCAGCAGUGAGGAAUAUUGGUCAAUGGACGAGAGUCUGAACCAGCCAAGUAGCGUGAAGGAUGACUGCCCUAUGGGUUGUAAACUUCUUUUAUAUGGGAAUAAAAUGUUCCACGUGUGGGAUUUUGUAUGUACCAUAUGAAUAAGGAUCGGCUAACUCCGUACCAGCAGCUGCGGUAAUACGGAGGAUCCGAGCGUUAUCCGGAUUUAUUGGGUUUAAAGGGAGCGUAGGUGGAUUGUUAAGUCAGUUGUGAAAGUUUGCGGCUCAACCGUAAAAUUGCAGUUGAAACUGGCAGUCUUGAGUACAGUAGAGGUGGGCGGAAUUAGUGGUGUAGCGGUGAAAUGCGUAGAUAUCACGAAGAACUCCGAUUGCGAAGGCAGCUCACUGGACUGAAACUGACACUGAGGCUCGAAAGUGUGGGGAUCGAACAGGAUUAGAUACCCCAGUAGUC